rnacentral:lncRNA from 1 species
UCCAUACCCGACUUCUUCUUUUACGAUUAGAAGUCGGGUGAUCAUUAUUACUAGUACUACCAGAAGCUACAGGAUUAGCAUCAUUAUUGACCCAUUCUACAGGAUGGACAGCUCUCAUAUGUCUUGCAAAUGGUCCAGUCCCUCCUAAAUGUCCUUCGGUCAAAUAUUGAAAAGUUUCGUUACAAAAUUUGCACUUAACACUAUUAGUACCUUCNNN